GGCGCACAUAAGACAUGCAAAUCGAACGGAAGCCGUGCAAGAGACAAUUGAAGAUUUAUCAGAUUGAUGUCUUCUAACAAUGACUUUAGUGGCGGACUGGUGAGUAACACGUAAGCAAUCUGCCUAUCAGAGGGGAAUAACAGUGAGAAAUCAUUGCUAAUACCGCAUAUGCUCACGUUAUCGCAUGAUAAAGUGAGGAAAGGAGUAAUCCGCUGAUAGAUGAGCUUGCGCCUGAUUAGCUAGAUGGUGGGGUAACGGCCUACCAUGGCGACGAUCAGUAGCCGGACUGAGAGGUUGAACGGCCACAUUGGGACUGAGAUACGGCCCAGACUCCUACGGGAGGCAGCAGUCGGGAAUAUUGCGCAAUGGAGGAAACUCUGACGCAGUGACGCCGCGUAUAGGAUGAAGGUUCUCGGAUUGUAAACUAUUGUCAUUAGGGAAGAUUAAAGACUGUACCUAAAGAGGAAGCCCCGGCUAACUAUGUGCCAGCAGCCGCGGUAA
rnacentral:rRNA from 1 species